UAUUGGUCCGAAGGUAGCAAGUUAUCUCAAUCGAUUCUUCACAGUCAGUUACAGAUCCAGCUCCUUCCCCCUUCUGACUACUGCACUUGACUAGUCUUUA
ensembl:misc_RNA Y_RNA Y RNA